ACCAAGUUUAAGUUUAAGUUUUAGAAAAGUUAAGAAAACGGUUAGGUUAAAGGAAACGGAACAAUAGUUUUUUUGGAAACGUACGUGGCUGCACGAAAAAUAGCAGAACAAACAAAAUUCCGAAAUAUGUUCGUCGUGUGAACUCGUGGCAUAUCCAUUCUCUCCAUUCCAUGGUGUUUGGCAGAUUUGGGGACUGAGUCAGCCAUCGUAACCACAAGAUAUGCAAGUUUUGCUUGUACUGGUAUUGGCCACAGCAACAAUCUCAAUCUCAUCAUCAUUGCUUGGAUAAACAGCAUCCCGUUUGAAUGGAGAAACUACCCAUGUCGGUCCAGUUCUUACCCUGUCUGCAUAAAUGUUCUCGUGUAUGCCCAUGUGUGUGUGGGUGUAUUCACGAGGACUCCCUAUCCCGACUGUGAUGGAUUCCACUCCUCAUCAAAUGGAGCACUUGUGGAUGGAUGUCUGGCCGUAUUUCCCAGGCAUAAAGUACCACCCGUACAUGGAGGGGAAGGUGGCGUGAUAAGGGGCGGCCCGGACGCCGUGGUGGAUGUGUCCGGCGACGGCGGCGUGAGCGGCGUGAGCGGCGGAAGAGCAAUUGAUUCCGUCGAACGAGUAAU